GAUUCUUACAACUUAGAAUCUUAGAGGAAGGGCCCCACUCAGACAUCUGAGGAGGGGACCCUGGUAGUCUCUCCUGUGUUAGGGAAAACUGAACCCCAUGAGCUACUGCUAUAAGGAACUGCCUCUGCUGGAGUGAAGAAGCAUAGCUGGGGAUCAUUUUCCUCUAUAUUGAAGAACACCUCUUAGAAUCUCCCUUGGUGCAGGUCUGCUGAUUUUUCUUUUUUACAAAGUUCUGUACAUAAAAAUAAAUAUACAGAAACAACCCCAUCAACUGUCUGCAUCAGUAAUCCUCGCUGGUGGGCUCACCGUUUACAAGGAAGACAUCAUUCAACGCAACCUGUCACAGAGACUGUCCUACCAGCAACAACUUCUAACUUGAAGAACCAUUAAUUUUAUCAAGAUUGUUAAUCACCUGGAGGGCUUUAUCUACCACCUAGAAAUUACCCAUGAAUCAAUGAAUGCAGUCACUGGCUUUAGUGAAGUGUGACCAACUGUCACUACUGCUAGUGGUGCUAUUAUCCUAUGCUGACUUCAACCAAUAAAGAUGCAUGUGUGGUUAAGAACAGAAAUAAACCCCACUCCCCUUGGCUAGUCACUGUGAAAAGCAUGCGCGUAAGGCAGUUGAAUUGAGGGUUACGGAUUCAUCUUGCUAAUGUCCAAAGUGACACUAACAAGAUUCUUAGCCUCAUCCACCAGAUGACGGGCCUCUGCGUCCAGGUCUCCAGGAGCAGGCUCCACCUCCUUCACCAGACAGUGGGUUGUAACCUGGGAUGAGGGAAAGGAAGCAAAACACUGGGCACAUUCUGCAUCAAAUAUAAAAUUGCGAGCCUGACAUGCAAAGCUCUAUUCUCACAGACAUUUUCAUAAAACUUUUAGCUACCAUGUGAAAAAAAUAUUCUGUGAUUACACUUUGAAUGAACUUUCUGGGGGAAUAAAAGAAGUCAUCCAGCAUUUUGGUCUUAACUGCUCAAAAAUGUAAAAAUUCCCCCAAAACACACAAGAAAUUUGCCCCAACAAACCUCUCAAGAUGGCUGGAUUUAAGUACAUGAAGGCUUCUACAACAGUGCUUAAUAAAAUGUAUACAUUCAAAUAAGGACAGUGCAAGCUACAGAAAAUAAAUUUAAAAAAUAUCAAAACA